CCUACGGGAGGCAGCAGUGGGGGAUAUUGCACAAUGGGGGAAACCCUGAUGCAGCGACGCCGCGUGUGGGAAGACGGUCCUCUGGAUUGUAAACCACUGUCCCCAGGGACGAAGAUGCCGGUACCUGGGGCGUCCGCUCCGGCUAACUACGUACCAGCAGCCUCGGUAAUACGUAGGGAGCGAGCUUUGUCCGGAAUUACUGGGUGUAAAGGGAGCGUAGGCGGGGAUGAAAGUUGGGUGUCAAAACUACCGGCUCAACUGGGAGUCGCACUCAAAACUGCAGCUCUUGAGUGAAGUAGAGGCAGGCGGAAUUACUAGUGUAGAGGUGAAAUGCGUAGAUAUUAGGAGGAACACCAGUGGCGAAGGCGGCAUGCUGGGCUGUGACUGACGCUGAGGCUCGAAAGUGUGGGGAGCAAACAGGAUUAGAUACCCGGGUAGUC
rnacentral:rRNA from 1 species